AUGUAAAUAAGCUCUCAUCAUGACACCAAAGCAUAAGAUUGUAUUGAAUCUUACUCCUUCUUAAUAUUUCUCUAUCCAUUGGGUAUAUUUUGUAAUAUUUGUUUUCAUUACGAUAAUAUCAGUCAAAUUAAUUUACCUAUAGAAAAAGGACAUUUUUCAUUAUGAUAAUAUCAGUCAAAUUAAUUUACCAAUAGAAAAAGGACAUGCUAUGUAUAAUAAGGAACCAUAUUCCUUGUGUUUUGAAAAAAAACAAAGGCUAUGCAGAUAUGAGUUCUUGUCAUUGUGAAAUAGGUAUGGUAGUAGACUUAAGAAUAAGUAGGAAACCUGAUCGGAUUAGAAUCCCAUGCAAUUA
rnacentral:lncRNA from 1 species